CAGCAGCCGCGGUAAUACAGAGGGUGCGAGCGUUAAUCGGAUUUACUGGGCGUAAAGCGUGCGUAGGCGGCUUUUUAAGUCGGAUGUGAAAUCCCUGAGCUUAACUUAGGAAUUGCAUUCGAUACUGGGAAGCUAGAGUAUGGGAGAGGAUGGUAGAAUUCCAGGUGUAGCGGUGAAAUGCGUAGAGAUCUGGAGGAAUACCGAUGGCGAAGGCAGCCAUCUGGCCUAAUACUGACGCUGAGGUACGAAAGCAUGGGGAGCAAACAGGAUUAGAUACCCUGGUAGUCCAUGCCGUAAACGAUGUCUACUAGCCGUUGGGGCCUUUGAGGCUUUAGUGGCGCAGCUAACGCGAUAAGUAGACCGCCUGGGGAGUACGGUCGCAAGACUAAAACUCAAAGGAAUUGACGGC
rnacentral:rRNA from 1 species